ACAAGAUUGUUCAAUCUGUUAACGAUAUUAGAAUUUUAACCAGAAAUUUCUAUUAUUACAAAUGAAAAUUUAAUACAAAUAAGCUAUUUUCCAGGCUUAUAAUACUUUCACAUGCUUGUAGAUUCUAUAUCGGAAUAUAGAUAGGUCUUUUCAGUAUCUGAAUAAUUCACCGCUAAAUGCACCGAGACGUCCAUCGGAAUUCCUUUUAAAAAUUCUUCAAAUUUUAAAACCUGAGUUUCGACUAUCACCAAGGUUAGUCGAUAGUAAGAGCAUUUCUAUUGAAAUUUUUCAAAUGUCACGUUUUCCAUUACAGGAAAUUGCAUUUCUUUCUAAUUGGAUAGAUCGUUGAGCAGCUGAUAUACUGCCAAGAUAACAAAUUGCCGUGAAAUCACCUAUUGGUUUUAUCAGCACCGAGCAGACUGAACAAGAUAGAGGGUACUUUUUUAUGAGAAUUCUCUAUGAUCGAAAUUGAUCAAACAAACAAACUGGUUUUCGUUGAGUUAUCUGUUCACGCAAAGAUCCGUGGGAUGAACCAUAAAAUGAUCCCCUUCGAUAUCUAUAUCAGUAUCAUUAUCAUUUGAUCGUACCAUCAAAUAACAUUUAAGCUGUACAAUAUAUCCUGGGGAUUAUUGUUAAAUCAAUUACUAGGAAUAUGUGCGUUUUAUUGCUUUCGUAGAUUAAUUAAAAAACAUUAUCGAAAAGGUAUUAGCAGGAUUGUGAUAGAUAUAUAGACGAAAUAGUUUUUUAUUAACAGUUUUUACGAAACUGUUAUUUAUCUUACAGACAUAAAAGGAAUAAAGGAAUGAAAGGAAGGUUUCUUUGUAAAUUGUAUCUUGUUCGUUACGUUUACAUAAAUAUAAAUUUGCAUAAAUAUCAGAAUAUUCCACGUUAUCUAACAAAUAUAAAUUCAAUUGUAGGUAAUAUUAAAAGAAAAACUAGAACCGAAACUAUCAACGCAAUUUAUUACUCGGUUAAUUAUUUUGUUUUAUAUGCCUUUGCCAGAGAAUUCCUUAAAUUGAGUUUCCACAAAUAUUGAGAAACGAUGUAUUGCGUCUCUUAAGAAUAACAAUUUUCAAAUAUUGCAAGUACUCGCUUGUUUGGCAAUAUCAUCUUUUUCUUUCCGGUUCAUGUGUUUUCUUUCCGAUGUUGAAAAGCUUUCCAAUUAUCAAUCUCUUUCUUCUUUUUUUUAAUAUGAGAUCGCAUUAAUUAGGAAAAAACCAGACGAUCGUAAAAAGCCUUCUGCGAGAUAAAACACAUGAAUCGUAGUUAGAAAAAAUAAUCGCUACGUGUUUUGGUAAAAAGUACUUUCUGCGAGACUCGUUCCUUUCGUGAUAAACAAAAAACGCUGGAUGUUUCAUUCAACCGAUAACGCGACCCAGACAAAGAAUAAAAACGUGCCUAAUUGAUACAAUAUAGCGGAAUCGGAUCGACAUGUUUUUAAAACAAACAGAACGUGAACAACAACGUAAAAGAAUGGAGAUUGUUUACAUAUUUCGUGCGAUUAUAUAUUUCGCAGACGGACUCUGUACGUCGAUCGUCCUCCCUAUGCAUAUCAUUAACGAAACAGCGCUUCACCUUGCGUACAGAGGUGCACAGUCCAUUGGCCGAUUUGCCAAGGAGUUCAUCGCGAUUGUUCGCAAGGUCAGACACUGCAUCGAAUUGCAGUGAAGCAUGCGAUGUCUCUCAAUGUUCUCUGUACAUUCAAGAACGUCAUACGUUUUCUAUAUAGCAGUUCGAUCGGAUCAUUGAGAACCUGUACGGUCAUUUUAAAGGAAAGAAGACGACAAGUGCAGCUGCAUAAUACAGAAAUGACAGUGGUGAUUCUACGAUUGACGGCGUUACUUAUUUCAAAUGUCAAUGUGAUCGAUUCUCUUUCCUUGGUAGCUAAUUCAUAAAUGAAACCUAUCGAAUAAGUUUCCGUUCAAGAAGCAAACCUAAUCAGUAGACUGCAAGCAUAUUCAUGUAACAAGCCGUAAUAAACUUGGACAAACGAUAAAAAAAUAAUGAAAUACGAGCAUUUGUUAAGUUCCUAACGAACAGUAUGCCAUAAUCGAAUGCACGUGACAUGAUAUUUCCUUGAGUGAAAUUAAGUUCUGUUCGACAGCGAACUGCUUCACCCAUAUGCGCCGUAUCAUUGAGAAUCUUUAGCGAAUUGAAGAACAGAUAACGAAUGAAGCUUAACCCGGUCGCCUGGAGUGAAUCGCGUAAUUAGUAGCUUUGAUUUAAUGAGAGUGCGAUGGAUUCUCAAGCUUCCAAAGGAACCUUUUAUUUCACGGAGCUCUGCGAGAAUUAAAAGGAGUAUAUUCAAUUAUCGUUUCUUUUAAUAGAACCGCAUUGCUUUAUCGAAUAAGGAAAUAUCGCGCGAAAGUAUUUCUGUAAUUUUUUACUUCAUGAUUAUCAGCUGAUACAACGCUCGCUCUAAAUGUAUAUCAAGCUCUGUCCUCGAUCCAUAAACUAUGAAUGUUUAUGCAUUUAUGAAAAAAUUAAGAUUCCAGAAAUAUAAGCAUAUACACAGUAAAGUGUUGAAAAUGUACGCAAUAUAUAUUUUGCAGAGACAUAUUUCAUACAUAGUUGAUGUUUAGUAUUCGUUACGAUAUUUAGAUAAAAUAACUCAUUAUUUGUAUACUAUUUCUUUAACCGUAUCCUUAUCAUAACGAUAUGCAUUUUCAUAAGAAAUGCUAUUAAUAUCUAUCUUCUAUCAAUAAGGUUCUCCUAUUUUAAUUCUGACGAAAUAGAUCUCGAUGUACCAGGCCAGAAACACGAGUAUUCCCUCCAGAAUUUAAUAUCUCGCGUCAUCCCGUGUCUUCUCCGUAUCUCUAAUUACAUUUGCCAAUUUUCUACGAUUAUUAUUAUUAGAAAAAUUAAUCUGUCUAUUGAUUUACUGUGAUAUUAAUUAUUUUAUCAACUACCUAUGAAAAUCGAUCGCGCGAGUAUUUACUUUUUUAAAAGAUAUUUCUAUUUGCUAAAAACCAAAAAGAAGAUAUCAUAUAGCGUACUAACUAAUUUUCCAAUUUUCAGAUAAUGUUUAAAGGCUUUUAGCGUUAGAGAGAUAAUAUAAAAGUUACAUUGACAUUUACAAAAGUGCAUAUAUGUAUAUGAUUUUUACACAGAAGCAAUAACGCAGUAUAUGAUACAGACAACGAUAAACGUAAAUGAUGACGCAUCGUGGCCAUGUUUCAAUACAACACGUUGCUAUAAAGUCUCUCUGUCCAGACUCGUACGCAUCUAUCCGCCUUUUUAAUAAUUUCAUUUACAUUCGUUCAUUGUUUUUCCGAGAAUCAGAACGAAGCAACGGGAUAUCGAGAAACAGACAUUUCCGAUGAAAAGAGCGAGCUUUCAAACCAAUCGCACUGACGCCCUUCAUCCGAGGAACACGAAUUGAAUCGCUGUAAAUCAUUCAGCCUACAAACGAAGAUAGAAACGAUUUUCUCCACCCGUUAUCUAUCUGCGGACCGAUAUUUCCAUUUCCGCAGAGAACGAAUUUGCACAUGUACUCUAAUUCACGGUCAUUCGAACGCUUACGAUUUACCGUAUUGAGACGCGACUGUCAUAAUUAUAUCGGUAAAAAUAGUCAGUCUACACGUGUAUGUGUAAUAUAUUUAAUUAAAAAUCACUUCAUUAGAUAUCUUAUAUCUUCUAUGUAUAGUUUCAGAUUUGUUUCAAGAAUUUUACUGAUAGGAUACGUAUAGUGUACAAAAAUAUUAAUAUAAUAUAUUUUCCACAUAUUUUAUAGACUUAUACUGUAUGUAUACUGACAGUGCUUUAAAUUAUUAAUUAUACAAAAAUAGAUAAAAUACCCAAAGUAUUUAAAUUUCUUUGAAAUAUAAAUUUGCUUACGAAUUCAUCGUCUAAUCAUGAUAUUGCAGUUAUCUUUCGUAUAAUAUAUGUAUACAUAAUAUAUUCAUAGAAUCUUUUUAUUUGUUUCCGAAUAAUUUCGUGACUCAUUGUAGUUAUAGUAGAAAACUCGUUUCAUUUCAGAUAAUUGGCCGUUUAAUAUCUACAGGAUAAAACUGAACAGGAAACGUUACGUAAUGUAGAAAACGAGCUUGCAACGUGCUGCUGGACACGCUUCGAGAACGUAAUUAUUGUUGAUUAACAGCAUUAACUUUGAUGUUAACACUACACACACGCCUUAUGUAACACGAGAAAGAUGAAAUUAAACGUUCUCGUUUUUAUUGGAAAACUCGAUGUGACGAAGUGGAAAAUGACCUUUCCACCAGGAGGUCGAGGUUCAAACGACGGCAACGAAUAUAUGUAUACACAUCGAUCGAUCGAUCGAUCGAUCCUGUAUGGAUGGAGCAUUAGAAUUAGAAGACGCGAGUUUUUUCAAUUCAAAGAAACAACUAGCAUUAUAAACUUGUUAACUGGCUUCAGAAACAGUAUCUACGUCAUAUCUCGACUGUUUGUGCUAUUUUAAAUCAAUUUCCUUCGGCGACUCGAAGUUCCCAUUUUCGUUCUCAUCUUCUUCCAAUUAUCUUGAUCCUCGACUUUCAAGAUAUCCCAAGAGUUACAUUACGACAGAUUUAACAAAUAUACUCGAAGUCUGUUUAUAAAUACAUCCGUACAUUCGAUUUAGGACGUUCCUUCGUUAUUUUAUUAUUUGAAAUCAGAUUUAGUCACUUCUUUAUUUAUUCUGAUUCCGUGACAGUAGAUGUUUUAUUCCGGUCUAGUUUAGUUUACGAAUCGAACGAGGUAGGUACUUUCGUAAAAAUAGAUCUGUUUCCGGAGGACGUUAUAAGCCAGUAUCGUAUAACGGCGACGCAUUAAUAAAAUUGGAGGACGCGAUACUGCGUCCGAUUUAUGUACACGCGAAAGUGUAAGGAACAUUUUCCCGAUGAUAAUGAAAGUGCAAACAUGGUACAAAGUGACCUACGAGAAAGCUAUCUUAUCCAUCCCAACGCAUAUGUUAGUCUCGAUGAACUUGACCAUCGAUGAUUACCGAAAUUUCAUCGAUAAAGACCUUCAAGAAUAUUUGAUAAUUCCAUCGAGUUGCUCAACCUAUCGCCGGGAAAAUAGAAACGUACACGUCAACUGGAAAAUCACGUGUCACGAAAUAUUUGUAAGACGAUCGACAAAACUGAUUUCGAUGGUUCUACGAAAGUCGACAGCUUGAACGGUCGUUUAAUGUGGAACUCGCAAACCCUAUAUUGUUGCCAUGUUCUUGAAUACCAAUGGUUGCGUCGCUUUUUUUUCGCAAAAUAUCGCCGAGUAUUUCAUGGCUACUGAUAACUCCAAGCGAAAUAAAAAUUUAUCGAAAAAAUUUUAAUUGCCAAUUACGUGUUGCGUCACAUUGUAACAUGCCAUGAUAUCUGAUACUUACGUGUAAACAAUCCACGUGUCGACGGAUUAUAUAAGCACAGUGGAUAAAUCGUUGUUUGGUAACAACAGAGAAAGUUUGUCUUAUCGUCGGAAAAUAAAUAAAAAAAUCUCUCCGAUCUUCUUUUCACUUAAUAACUUGAAAUUGAAAUUGAUGGAUGUUUCCAAGUAGUCCGGAAGAGAGAAAACACCUAUUUUCUCAAGGCUAGACGUCGUUUAGUAGUCGGAAUUCAAGGAAUGGAUGAACGAUACUUUUACCAGUGCAAACCAGUCUCAGAGUAAAAACUCGGCCAGACUGCAGUCCCAGUUACUCCUCUCGCGGAGAACUUGCUGGGAACAUCCUAAUAAUUUUUUCGAGCGACGCAUCUCCCAUGUGGGAAUUGUGAGUACAAUGAUUCACCAUUGUAUGUAAAUUAACAAGUGUCUCGUAAUUUUCCGCUCGUUUUGAAACAAUUGUCUACUUCAGCUCACGAUAUUUACUAGGAAUCUAACGUGAACACAUUUGCAACUCGAAUGUAACCUGUUAAUCGAGUCGCUUUUUAACGAGAAAUUACUACAGCAAUGGAAUUCAACUUAACACGUAACAUGAAUACUUAAUAAUGACAAAUUAAUUUCCGUCAAGUCCAUUUUUAAUUCUUGCGAAUGUAAAAUAUUGAUCAAAAAGAAGAAACAAAAAGAAAAAUGAAUUUCAAUUGCGAUAUGUUGAAAGGAAAAUUUGUUAAUUACUUUAUUAUCUAAUUUAAUAUAUCUAAUUUAAAAGAUUUUUAAUAAUUUAAUUCAACGUAUUCUUGUCUCGUAAUUUUACAUCUCAGUAACGUCCUUCGUGACUCAUAUUUUCCAGUUAGCAGAGAAAUAAUUACCGAGGAAUUUAUUAACUUAAUUUCUACGAAUUGCAAGUAAAUUAUUCAGCAAAUCAACGAGAAAAAUACUAUCGUUGGUAAGAAAACAAUUGUUACUCAUCGGCCAUCGGUAUUUUUUCACUGUACGUUGUUGUACGCGUUAAGCACUGUUCUAUAGGUAGUUCUAGAACGGUCGACGAGCAUCUAUAACCGGUCAGAGGAAGCAGCUGUUUAGUUUUAAAGUUUCAAUCUCAAUGUGCAACAGUAGGCACGUAGAUGCACGCGCUUCAUAGGGCAAUGCGCGUCUAGUGACUUACGCCGGUUACAUACAGACAGAAAACACGUUCGCUAAAUGAAUUAGAUAACGCUUGGUAAAUGUCGAAUUAAUGUCAAUUUACUUUAGGGGCAAUUAACAACAAGAGCGGAAUACCACAAGUUUACAACGUUGGGCAAUCAACGUUUCGAUUCGAGUGAAAGGAACCGAAAGCACGACGAAUAAAUUGAAAAUAUUAUGAAACCGAAGUAACUUGUUAUUGCUUUAGAUGGAGGCCGUUGAUAACAGAAAUUCUUGCUAGGUGUUUGGCGUUCAUAACAUUUAACUAUCGCUGUUCUACAGAACAAAAAGAUCGAUAGAAAGGCAAAUAUCAAGUGGUAACGUAGUAAAUGUUGAAUUUUUAAUAACUCUCACUUUACAGAAUCCUAAAAGGAAUGCGUUUAUGCACGCUUAUAUGAAUAAACAAAAGAACCAUGUUAUGAAAGAGAAAAUUCUCCGCUUGAAAAUUUACCAAAGGAAAAAGAAUAGAUACAACGAAAACGAAUAUUUUACAUGUUACGAUUUAAACUCGCGGCAAAAAUCUUUUACACGUCGCUGUAUAUUUUAAAAUGCAUCCUUAUUUUGGUCCAUUAUUUAGUCAAGAAUAGUAGCAGUAAUAUUUAUUAAAUUUCUCCCUCACGACCGAAAAAUUGUGUAUUCUCUUUCGCACUAUAUCGUUAAUGGGUCUACGUUAUUAUUUACCCAAGAGUACAAAUGGUAACAGCAGGCAAAUAGUGGACAGAAAAUAAGAGUGUGGUUAAAAUCACAAAUAAUUUCUGGAAAGUCGAUUUUCAGAGACCGCGACUUAACACUCCGCCUGCAAACUUAUUUUUACUUACGUUAAUUGCAUACUGGGUCGUUUAAAUACACGCAGUUUUCGUUAA